rnacentral:tRNA from 1 species
GCGGCCGUAGUCUAGCUUGGUAGGACUUCGGCCUCCCGAGCCGGUGACCCGGGUUCAAAUCCCGGCGGCCGCACCA